UUGACUUUUUGAAUUCGCAUGCAGAAAAGUGGUAGAAAAUCCGAAAAUCCUAUAAAUAGUAAAAAGACGUAAAUACGUAACAUUGCAUACACAUUCCAUAUAUGGUAGGUAGGUGACGUAUGCUCAUUGGGCCAAACGGAAGUGGUAACCUUCAUCUAAAAAUAGACUAAUACCUAAUAGAUGCAGUAUUGUAUGGGGGUUUCCACGAUGUGACGUCACACGGAUAACACAAAAGUAUCUACAACUGAGUACUCUAAUUGUUUGCUUAACCCCUUAGACGAGAGAGGAAGAUUGCGGCUCGUGACGAAGUUUGUUCUCUAAUCUUUUUUCCAUGAAAGUUUAAAUCCCUGCUCUUCAAUUCCCGAGUAAAGUUGUCACGUAGAGGAUAGCUUGGGGACAUGAUUGGGUGUGUACUAGUAUCCUUCCCACACAGAUAGCUAAUGCUCGGUGGUCUGUAAGGCUAGACACGACGCGAACGACCCCAAGCCAUGAACGACCCCACUCGGCAAUAAAAGGGGAGAAACUUUCUGCCCUGGCGUUAAGAAGACUUUCUUAGCCGUAAAAGUCGCCCUACAUACCUUUACGGUAGUCGUGAGUAACAAAAGACAAUAUUUGGCGUACGGUGAAGGAGCUAGGUGUGGCCUUGCCUGGCGACCGCGCGUUGCUUCCGGGUUUAAAAAAAUAAACAAACGACGCGGACGUUUGUCACCCCUCACCUUUCAGGGAAAUAACCCUAUCCUUCCACCCAUCAAGCACACGUGGGUACGGCUGAUCGAAAAGAUAAUGAGCUAAAAAUAAUGACUAUAUAUGGCGAGACGUAAGGUAUAAAUGGGCCCGAGGAUUCCCACCCUGCACACUUGAAGUUUGGAUCGACGGGAGAACGGACAGAAAUCUUCAGAGUAGUGCCGAUCUUCACUUAGCGAAAGACACAUCCAGACAUGAAGACGACCGUAGCUGUUGUGCUUGUCGCCAUGCUCUCUUCAGAGUUCCUGCUCAUGCGGUGCCAGGCUGUACCGGUACCUGUACAGAACACUGUCAUCCGCCGCUUAAGAAGAAACACGCCAGAACGAUCGUGUAACGGCUGUGAAGGGCUGGUAGCGGCCAUUUCAAGAACUGACAACGGCAACCUACUGGACAGGUUCGGGGACGAGUGCAACCAGUGCGGGUUCGGCUGCGACAAGAAGAAGGCGGUCACAGACUUCUUUGGGAGGGGACUGGACAUGUGGGUCUGUACGACCGACUUGCAGUAGCGCUUUAAACAAAGGUCUGGUGGAAUGAAUUGGUCCAUGUAUUUGUGUCACACGGUCGUCCUAGUGGUUUGGUUACGGACUGGCAAGGGACUGGGCAUGUGGCCAUGGGUUUGUAAGACCGAUUUGUUAAGUUAUGAUCUAUGUAUUUAUUUCUAUGGGGUCCGCCAAGCGGACACGAAAUCGAGUGAUCAUGGGUUCGAAUCCUGGUAUUCCCGGCUAGACGGUGUGUCCUUGGCAUUGUAGUCGAUUUUCCUCACCUCAUACAGGUGCAAAAUUGACACAUGACUUCGGUUGUGAAGGCAAGCGGUGGUGGAAGGAGAGGGAUGGGCUUCGCUUUACAAUACUGUGUCCUAGACCAAGGAGGUUAUAACCUCACUUGCCUAGACAGACUGCCCGUUCGGCUAAAAAAAAUGCUUCACAUACCUUAAGACCAUCAUGACUUGCACAAUCACAAUCACUGUCGCGUAUAAGUGGCCAAUUUUGUCUAGACUUUGUUUGAGGAGAGAUGUGGGGGGUGUCAUUUGUAUAUAGAUCGAUAUCGUUACACACAACUAAAUUCCUAGUUGAGUAACGCUGUACAUACUUUUGUUCGUAAUACUAGUAAGCCGUAAGUUCAUUCAAUGCUAGCUGGUUCUAGCAAAAGUUAAGUCAGGCUUGUGUAGUUUGUAUGCCUCUAUUUUUAGUUUAUUGUCGCUAUUUUUAGUUUAUUGUGCUAUUGUUUUAUCAAUUUAUGACCCACACCCUUUUUACAAUAGGCAAUAACUGGGUAAAAAUAAGGCAAUAAACUAUAAAUAGAGGCAUACAAAUCAGAGGAAGUUGUUUACGUAAGAAGCAUGCUUGUGACUGUGUUAACGCUGGCAAGGAGCCAUGUACAGGUAUACAGGCAUUGCCAUGGUAACCGAAGCAUGUAUAUAGCGUUAUGUAUAAUUUGAAAUUAAUGAUGUGACGCGUUGUGGGUUGCUAAGUCCAAGAUGCCAAGCUUUUGUUACAUGGCACAAUGGCCGUAGUACAAUAGUAUCAAAGGCGUGGAAAAUAGUUUGACGUAUUUCGCAUUGUUAAAAGUCACGAUGUACAUGUAACGUUAAUACCUUGUUUUAAACUGCACGUCAUUGCGAUGCUACUGCGCAUUCGGAGGUGUGUUGGUAUAGGAACUCGUGUGCAGAAUGUUUUAAGGUAUACAACCCCACCCUGAGUUGUGGGAUGGGGGGGUAACGUACCAAAUGUAGUUUGUAUAUAUGUUUGUAUGGACAAACGAACUGAGAACAAAGACUGUUAUAAAGUCUACAACCCCACCCUGAGUUACGGGGGGUAAGAUAGGUGAGCCUCUAAUUUGUUGGGGUGAUAAACAAAUUCCAUAACGUAGCCGCUAUGGGGAAAUAAGCUGUCAGCACUUGAUAAAGUGUAUGUAUGACUACUUGCUUCAACCCUGUUGAAAAUACUGUUGACAAGUAACUAGGAUGUGUCGGUAAAAAAUAAGACAACCCUAGAGACAAACGUCGACAAAGGAGGUUAUACGCCUUGGUUGAAGUUUGUGUCUAGCGUUGUUUUAUUUCUAUCGUCACAUCCUAGUUACCAGUCAACAGUGCUUCAACUCAACAAAUGUCACUUCCUCACGGUCGCCAUGGUUACCCUCGUCUUGACGAGAAUACCUACGAACUAUUGUCUGUAGUCCUUUUCAUGCUUUCUUACCCCAAAACUAGGACUAUGUUUAUUCAAUCACAUGUACCUGCACUGUACAAAAGUAUGUGGUUUGUGGACUGAAGUACUCAAUAUCUCUUAGCUCUAUAUUAGAGCACUCUGUGGCUAGCUUGUGCUUGCACUAUAUAUAACUUGCGGAUAUACUUAGCUGGGUAUUUGUAGCUGUACAUUUUGCAAAAUGUUCUUUGUACUGUUGUAAUAAAAGAUUUUCAGAACGA